rnacentral:rRNA from 1 species
UACGAACCGUGCGAACGUUGUUCGGAAUCACUGGGCGUAAAGCGCACGUAGGCGGCUUUUUAAGUCAGGGGUGAAAUCCUGGAGCUCAACUCCAGAACUGCCUUUGAUACUGAGAGGCUCGAGUCCGGGAGAGGUGAGUGGAACUGCGAGUGUAGAGGUGAAAUUCGUAGAUAUUCGCAAGAACACCAGUGGCGAAGGCGGCUCACUGGCCCGGUACUGACGCUGAGGUGCGAAAGCGUGGGGAGCAAACAGG